rnacentral:lncRNA from 1 species
AUGAGUGGCCAAACACAAAAUUUAUUUACUUGAUUACUUGAAAGGUGGAGCAAACUGCAAUAUGCAGUCUUAGCAAAAAAAAAAUAAAAUAUCUUUUUGCUUUUGCCUAAAUAAAUGAUCCACCCAAUUAACCCCAUAUUACAUUUACCCGUUUCCUUACCAUUCUAAUGGAAUUCGGCUGCUACAGCGUACAGUGAUAACGAACGAUACAAAAAAAUGAGCUUUGCAAUUUCAAAGCGAAGACUCCGUUAGGGUUCUUCUAUAUUCCUAACCAGGUAAAGUUCAUUACUUUAGAAUUUAGUUCUGAAAGUGUAUUGGAAUAUAAUUUUUCUCGUAUGUUUUGGAAUUGCACUUUGAAUUUUCUCCUUUUGCUGUAUUAAUUGGGAUAAUCUUGAUUACAUAUCUAUGCUGUAAACUACUUCUUUUAUUGGUAUAAAGAUAUAUAAUCUUUAGGCUUAUACUAAACGAAAUCUCAUAUGAGGUUUUUGGUAUUUUGUCUAGCUCUACUUGAAAUUAUUGUAGGGUUUAGCUUUCUUUCUUGUAUUAAACGGUCCAAAUAGAGCGAGAUGGAUAUAGAUCAUAGAGGAUUCAUAAUUGGAAAUUUUGUGAAAUGUGGAGCGAGUUGAGUGUGACAAGAUACGGCAAUAAUGGUACAAGUCAAAUGACCAUUUGUGUAGUUAACUCUUAUACAGAAUGUGAAUUGAAGAAAUAGAAAUCAGCUGUAACAACAGAAUGUGAACUGAAGAAACAGAAAUACUAACUAUUAUUUGCCAUAAAACUAUAGAAACCAACUGUAACAUAUGCAUUUGACAACCGUGGGCAUAAACUGAAGAAACACAGAUGCAUCCAUUGCUAUAUGCUAGAACAUCAACACUAACUUGCUUUACUAUUUGCUAGAACAUCAACACUAAUUUGCUACUAAUGAAUAUAGUAUGUACACUUGUCCAAUACUCCAGCAACCUCUGCAGAGAAAAAAUGAGAAUGGAGAGGAUAUUAGUAUUAAAAUAGAGAAAGAGCAAUGGAGGGCAACAUUAAAAAGGAAGCCAAAUACAUGGGCAGUUCUUAUAGUAUUAGAAAGAAAAACCAGCUAACAGAAAGACUGUUGUUUGCGAGGUUCAACACAACAAGUUUUAAUGCAUACCUCGUAAAUUGCUAAUUCAUUCUUAGACCAUGUCUCAAUGUCUUUGAUGUCUCUUCUUUGGCCUUCUCCGUUUCUUGACAGCAAUUUCUUGAGCAAUUUUUAGAGCAGUAUCUUCAGCAAAGUUGACAAUCCAUUUUGGUUUUUCCAGUAGGAAUAUUAGGCUUCCGACGAACAAUCCAAAAAUCACACCACAACCAUACCCUAUUAUGACAGAUUCCCAUGUAAAUCCGCCGGCAAAAAUUGAAUCAUCAUCAUCAUCAUCUUGUUCAAAUGGUGGCUCAUCUGACGUGUUCUUGUAUCCACAUUCCUUUGAUAGUGGAAAUCCACAUAAAUCAGGAUUUCCACCAUACGAAUCAUUUGAAAAUGUAUCGAAUUGUUUCCCAUGAGGGAUGCGCCCAACAAGAUGAUUGUAUGACAGGUUUAAGACCUCAAGAAAUGUCAAACUCGUCAAUAGACCAGGAAUUUCUCCAAUGAGUCUGUUCCGUGAGAGGUCUAAUGCUUCGAGCUCAUUCAACUUUGCGAUUUCUGCAGGAAUACUACCAUGGAAGUUGUUGUGAGAUAUGUUGAGUAACACAAGCGAACUAAGCCUUCCAAUGGAUUUUGGUAUAUCUCCUUCAAAUCUGUUGCUUGAUAAAUCAAUACUUGUCAUAAUGGACGUGAUUCUCAUAUCAAACUCAUUACCUUUUAUCACCAAACUAACAUGGUAACUGUAAUCUAUUUCAUUGCUAUUAUUUUUUCCAGGGAUUCCUGUUUUUUCUUCAUCCACUUUCAUCAUCGCUGUAAAAUUUUUGAAAAGAUUAGAUGGCAAAGUUCCAGUGAACCCAUUGAAGGAAAGGUCAAAGAUUCGUAACUCCGGAAAUGGAAAUUGGGACAUCAAUUCACCAAUUGGACCAUGAAAGAGAUUUGAUUUCAGUAUCAGAACUUGCAGGUAUGGAAGUUUCUCCAGCCAUAUCGGGAACGUGUCAUUUAUCUUGUUGUACCCCAAAUCAAGAGCUGCCAAGCUUGUACAGUUAACCAAGGAUCGUGGUAUUAGUCCUCCAAAUUGAUUGUCGGUUAAACCAAGAUAUUUUAACCCUGUCGGUAAAAAUCUCGGUAUCUCUCCAUAAAAAUUGUUCAUUCGCAAGUCUAAAACAGAAAUGAAGCUGCUGGAGUUACCCAAACAUCCUGGGAUUGUGCCACUGAAGUUGUUAUGGGCCAAAAUGAGGGCUUGAAGGUUAAUCAUGUCACAAAUGGACUGAUGCAAAGAACCUUGAAGAAAAUUGUUCUCCAGAUUAAGGUAGAACAAAUCCGUUGAGCGCCAUACUUGC